GUCGCCCUGUGCGCCUGAUGCUCCACUCGCGUGACUAUCCGUUAACCAUAUCCUGUGUGCGCUCUAGCUCCAUCGGGACUGACGGUCAGCAGCACAAACCAUGCAUUACAUUUGC
rnacentral:snoRNA from 1 species